rnacentral:rRNA from 1 species
ACCUGAGGCUAAGCCUCGGCUAACUCCGUGCCAGCAGCCGCGGUAAGACGGAGGAGGCAAGCGUUAUCCGGAAUUAUUGGGCGUAAAGCGUCCGCAGGCGGCUUUUUAAGUCUGCUGUUAAAGCCCACAGCUCAACUGUGGAUCGGCAGUGGAAACUGGAGAGCUAGAGCGUGGUAGGGGUAGAGGGAAUUCCCGGUGUAGCGGUGAAA